UGGGGAAUUUUGGACAAUGGGCGCAAGCCUGAUCCAGCCAUGCCGCGUGCAGGAUGAAGGCAUUCGGGUUGUAAACUGCUUUUGUACGGAAAGAAAAGACUCCUUCUAAUAAAGGGGGUCCAUGACGGUACCGUAAGAAUAAGCAUCGGCUAACUACGUGCCAGCAGCCGCGGUAAUACGUAGGGUGCGAGCGUUAAUCGGAAUUACUGGGCGUAAAGCGUGCGCAGGCGGUUAUAUAAGACAGAGGUGAAAUCCCCGGGCUCAACCUGGGAACUGCAUUUGUGACUGUAUAGCUAGAGUACGGCAGAGGGGGAUGGAAUUCCGCGUGUAGCAGUGAAAUGCGUAGAUAUGCGGAGGAACACCGAUGGCGAAGGCAAUCCCCUGAGCCUGUACUGACGCUCAUGCACGAAAGCGUGGGGAGCAAACA
rnacentral:rRNA from 1 species